rnacentral:rRNA from 1 species
UACGUAGGGUGCGAGCGUUAAUCGGAAUUACUGGGCGUAAAGGCGUGACGCAGGCGGUUCUCCAAGUCCGUUGUGAAAGCCCCGGGCCUCAACCUGGGAAUGGCAGUGGAAACUAGGGGACUUGAAUCUGGCAGAGGGGGGUGGAAUUCCACGGUGUAGCAGUGAAAUGCGUAGAGAUGUGGAGGAACACCGAUGGCGAAGGCAGCCCCCUGGGCUGAGAUUGACGCUCAGGCACGAAGCGUGGGAGCAAACAGGAUA